AUGAUCAUGUAGCAGCCAGGUCAUUUAACUUGGAAAAUGCUUUGGGAUCUCACACAAAGGCCAAGCACAAGCACAGUGCUGGACAAUACAUGGAUUUGAAGAGAGAGCUUCUGAGUUCUGAUUGGAAACUCUAUGCUCAGUCUAUUAGGCAUUUCUAAGGCUGUUUUGGUUCCUUCCGUGUCUUUUGAUCAACUCCUGGGGCGUUAUCACUCAAAAAACAACCAAAUAGGCUUGAAUAGUUAAUGCCUUAACUUUUAUCAGCAAGGUAAGCUUUACUUAGCAAGUUAAUGUAGCAUUUCUAAUAUAUGAUUGAAUAGUUACUUAUGCUUUUGAGUUUUGACUUUGAGAAUUUUAAAAUUGUUAUGCUUAUGCUUUUGGGUUUUUGGAGCAAGACAGGUAACCACUGAUCAACAUAAUAAAUAAGUCUAUUGUGGUACCCUCCUAACCAAAUACUCUCAUGCAUUGUGAGUAAUUUUUUCUUAUUUUGCAUAAUUGUUGUGGCCUGUGCAAUAUUCAUGUAAUAGAUUUCUUGUUAUCUUAGUUCUUAUUUUUAUAUUUGGGGACUCUCUUGAUCCAAAAGGAGGUGAGUUUGCUUUAGGGUGUUGACAAGGACAUGAAAAAGCUUUCAAUCCCUCUUUCUACAAGUGAUGAGACUGAUAAUUGCACCAUCAUCUGGUAUGAUGUUCUUACACAAUAUCAAGUCAAUAUUCACAAGGACCCAUAAUUAAAAAUAUAUAUAUACAUGAAUAAAAAAAGAAAGAGUGGCACAAUUUCUCUCUCUCUCUCUCUCUCUCUCCCUGUCAUUUUGCAUGCACAGAUGGUGUGGCUGGUAAUCACAUGAUAAUACCUGCUUCUUGUGAUCUUGUAGAUUGAUGGUGUGGCAUUGUUUCGAAUGUUGUAUAUUAUUAUGAAAUUUUCAACUAGUUUGUUAGUAAUAGUAUUAGGAACUUUUGGUGGUUUGGUCCUGUGCUUUUGUGGACUCAAGUUGACAUCAAACUUUUUUGAGAUGUGAUUGAGACCCCCUCAAUCACCAACCCCCACCACCCCCCACACACGUGGGGGUUGGUGAUUGGAGGAGAAAAAAAAAAAAAAAAAUCUGGCCAAUCAAUCCAAGAGGGGGUUGUGGGGGUGGGGGGGAAAAGGGAGUCCAGAUCAUUUUUGAACUUUUUUUAGCUGGAAAUGUUAUGAAAAGGAUUUCUAUGCACAAAGCCAUUCUUGUGGACUAUUUGAUGAAUGAUCAUUUUAUCAAGUAUUAUCAAUUUUUUUAUUUCCAUGCUUGAAUUGACUUUAAACACAUACUAUUUACUAAUCAUUAGUUGUCUGUUUUAUAUUUGAUGAAUCUCUUAGUGCUGACUUGUGCUUGAGAGCCAAUGGACCUCUACUGAUCACCCACACUCAGUGAACCUGUCAAGUUAUUUUCAAUGUGCCAUUUAUAUUGGCUGUACAGUGCUAGCUGAGAAAGUUUGAUAUUGUGUUGGUUUUUGUCUUACUAGUGUUCAAUAAUCAAAUUCAUGCCUCUUUUUGCUCGAACUUGUAGUUUCAAUAUUAGAGGUUGAUGAUUUGUUUCCGAUGUUCUCUUGACAGAGGGAGCAAUGGUGGCAACAAGACUGACAGGAAUUCUUUUAGGACAACCUAUAUUGUUCAAGACUCUGUAACAAGACUGUACAGAAGUGGCCUUUUUCUUGUUUCCAUAUACUAGUUUUUAAUGUGAAUUUGGGUGGUAAUUGCAAGGAUUCUUGGAAUCAAAACUACUGUAACCUCAAAUGUUUUUUUUGUAAUUGCAAUAGGUGGAAAAUCUUUGCAAGAUUCUUUUAGGAACUCUUUGUUAUUGUAACGGGAAUUUUAUUAAAGGAAGAGAUGGAAAAUAAUGCAUGAAUGU